GUUGAGUCUCUGCACAGCUGCCGCGCUGACGCGUUUUCCGCGUGUCCCGAGCCCCGGCGGCCCCGCGAGCUCGGUCCGUGCGGGGAAAGCAGGGCUGACGCCGUCUGCGGAGAGGACUGCGCAGCCGGGCUUGUGUGGGGCCGCGCGUAACGGCAGCGGCUACUCCCUGCCCAGGCCGGCCAGCACAGGGCCAUGGCCGAGGCGGCUGCGCCUCCGGACUGGCAUUGCGGACUGACCUCCAGGGAGAGGCCCAGAUCUGAUCUGCAGAGAUCUCCCUUCCGGCUAUCGUGGCUGCUGUUCAGGUGGUGGAGAAGAAGAUGGAACCCCAGGCUGCCUGGCUACAGAGCCUGGAGGGAUGCAUGUGGACAGCCAAGAAGAAGCUGGCUGACUGCGAGAAGGUGGCUGUGGAGUUCGGGAACCAGCUGGAGGCCAGGCCACCACCAAGCCAGAUCUGGCACCAGUGGAGAAAGGAGACAGGCAGGCAACUGCAGCCUGCCCAGUGCGGAGAGGGGCCAGAGCCCGGGCACUGAUUUCUCCAGGAGAGAGCUUUGUUUACCCCCAAGGACUGGGCUUCACUCCUAAAAGCUGCUUCUAAACCCUUUGCGUGCAGGCCCCAGACAGUGUGGGUGCAUGACUGCUUUAUCUGUUGGAUGUUUCCACAGGCAGGCUGUUGCUGCCAGAAUUCUAGAAGCAGUGUAAACGGGCUGCUCAUUCAUUAGGGCCCUGGUUAAUGGUGGAGCCAGCCUGGUGUGUGGCAGCCAGGUCGGGCUGGUGUCUUCAGAGUGGCUGUGUCAGAAGGGCCUCGUGUAUGACAGAAACGCAGGCCAGCUGGAACGUCCCCAGGCGUUCUGUCCUGGAUCAAGCAAGAGGAAGGGGCAAGUGGGAGGAGCCAGCAGGGCCCACAGGAGACCACUGUGGCACACCUGUGCUCAGGUAAGGCAUGCUGGGCCAUGUCUCCUCAGGCCUGUAUCCCUGGGCCUUAGGAGACAUGGCGUCCCCUGGGGGGCCUCACAGCGCCUCUAGUGGGGCCUUCUCCUGGGCGAGGCUCCUGAGGGAAGGCAGUGCGCAGCCUUGGCUGUGUCUCUGCAGAAUCUUGUAUGCUUGCUGCGUGGUGUCCUCCCAUGCAGUUGCACGAAAUCAUUCUUUUAUUCCUGAUCCUGUUUCCUGUUUAUUUCAUGAACUUGUCUGUAGGCAGCAUGGUGCUGGGCGCUGCAGGGGCUCAUUAAUGCAUGAGACACAGAUUCCACUCAGGAGAGAGAAGACGAACACAGACACAGUACACGGUGGGAAGGGGCACUUCCAUGUCUGCAGCCAGAGAGCCCUUUCAGAAUCUGACCCAAAAGAUGGCCAGUAUUCUAAGAAAAAGCACAUAUGCUUACGAUGUGCAAACAGCUGAAGGUGUUCUUUCAACUAUAGUAAAAGGGGUGUCUCGGUGGCCACAGGCGGCCCAGAUGAAGGUGCUGCUGGGGAAAAUGUCACCACGCUGGUCUUGGG
rnacentral:lncRNA from 1 species